rnacentral:rRNA from 1 species
UGGGGAAUUUGGACAAUGGGGGCAACCCUGAUCCAGCCAUGCCGCGUGAGUGAAGAAGGCCUUCGGGUUGUAAAGCUCUUUCGGACGGAACGAAAUGGUUACGGAUAAUACCUGUGACUGAUGACGGUACUGUAAGAAGAAGCACCGGCUAACUACGUGCCAGCAGCCGCGGUAAUACGUAGGGUGCGAGCGUUAAUCGGAAUUACUGGGCGUAAAGCGUGCGCAGGCGGUUCGCCAAGUCAGGUGUGAAAUCCCCGGGCUUAACCUGGGAAUUGCGCUUGAAACUAGCGGGCUUGAGUGUGGCAGAGGGGGGUGGAAUUCCACGUGUAGCAGUGAAAUGCGUAGAGAUGUGGAGGAACACCGAUGGCGAAGGCAGCCCCCUGGGUCAACACUGACGCUCAUGCACGAAAGCGUGGGGAGCAAACAGGAUUAGAUACCCAAGUAGUCCCUGAGCGGGCUGGCAAGGCGCAU